CCUACGGGGGGCAGCAGUGGGGAAUAUUGUGCAAUGGGCGAAAGCCUGACGCAGCGACGCCGCGUGAGGGAUGAAGGUCUUCGGAUCGUAAACCUCUGUCAGCAGGGAAGAACGGUCACUGUGCUAAUCAGCAGUGAAUUGACAGUACCUGACUAAGAAGCCCCGGCUAACUACGUGCCAGCAGCCGCGGUAAUACGUAGGGGGCAAGCGUUAUCCGGAUUUACUGGGUGUAAAGGGAGCGCAGGCGGCACGGCAAGCCUGAUGUGAAAGCCCGCGGCCCAACCGCGGGACUGCAUUGGGAACUA
rnacentral:rRNA from 1 species